UAAAAAGGAUAUUGCAAAAUAUGGGGAAAAUAAUUUGUAGCAGAUAAAAUAUGCUAAUAGAAUAGAAAGCUAGAAAGGGAAAGGUGAUGUAUUAAAUGUAGAUCUAGGAAAUAAGUAACUGAUAAGAUUGGUGAGAAGGAAACAAUAGUCGGUGCAAAACAACAGUUAAACACAAGACAUUUCUAACAAAGUGACUUGAGCACCUGAUAUUGCAGCUACACUAUAUUUUUGCAAGUACUUUGUAAGAUAUUUUCAUUAAAAUUCUAGAUUUUGUUACAGGGCAGCUUAAAUUUAUUUUUUUAUGAUGAGCUCUGGACACAUGAUAAUUGCCAAAGUUCCAGCUUGUAAUUAUGUUGUAAUAUUUCUUACUGAGAAUUCAUACUACCUGAUGCUUUCAUAUUCAUUUCUUAAGUUUGAAACAUUUGGUUUGAGGUGGGAAUAAAUUUGGUGGAAUAAAAUAACAUUCAAUUUUAUAUGUUAUUUUGCAAGCUGAGUUUAAGUGUAGAAGUGUAGUUUUUAUUGACUCCCUUGUUUUCUUGACGUUAAGAGUAAAUAGACAAAUUUUUAAAAGGAUGUCACAGAAGUCACUUUUUAAAAUUAAGUCACAAUUAAGUUAUACUGAAAUCCUUCACUGACCUCUCCCCUCUGUUUUUCCUGUUACGUUUGACAACAAUUAUGGAGAACAACAAAAAAAAAAACCUGAAAAAAAUUAGUCAUAUGCUUUCGGAUUAUCCACUUAAAUUUAUGUAUUUUCAUAUCACUCAGGUAAAGUAGGAAAUGACAAAGCACAGACAUCUAUUUUUUUAAAUAAAAGGUCAGAAAAAGCACUCCUAUUUAUUUAUAUUACCAUAUAGGCACAUCAUCUUAGCUAAUCAGAAAUAGUAUUUUUAUUUGUGUGAUGAAAUAAAUGCACUCAUCCUUAUAGUAGUCAACACGUUUUUGCCAAAUAGUACAAAUGUACCUCCAUUUAUAUUUUGUAUCUUAAAAAUGUAGUUUAAAAGUAAGAUGAUAAGAGACACUUUUUUACAAAAAGUGCCAUAUGUAUAUAUAUAUAUGAAACAGGGAUGAGUGUGUGUUGUUGAACUUAAUUUAUAACAAUUUCUGUCAGUACAGCAUAUACUUAAAAAUUCAAGUUGCUUUCAACCUGUUCAAGUAUGUUCAGGAUAAAAUAAGUUAAUCCAGUUUCUUAAUGUAAAUCAUAUUUUUGCCAUAUUUUAUUUGAAGCAGUAAUAAAAUUUUAUAGCUCAAAUUUGAAUGUUACGGUACAUUAUACGCUAACCAUGGCAAGCCAACAUUUACAUUUGUUUUUUACAAUAAAUUUCUUUUAAGAUAUACUUUCUAUUUUUCUGUACUGACAUGCAAUAAAUUGAUACAUUAAAAGUUUGAUUAAUGUCUUCAGAUAGUUUGUAUUUAAUUUUUAAAAGUAUAUUUUCUAUUAACCUAAAUUAUAUGGUAGGACAUUAAAGUUUCCUUAAUGAUUAAAUAAAAUUCCUGAAUUUGUA